rnacentral:misc_RNA from 1 species
CAAGAAUCAUAUACCACCAUGUACUUCAGCAUUGAGUCAAAUCAUAAACUCAGUAAAAAAGGCAAUAAUUGCAAGAAAAUUAAGUUUCCCAAGUCAAAAAAACAAAACCCAAGAUGAUAAUCCAGAAAAGGAAAGGUCAGGUAAUGGAGAUCGAUUUAGUGGUAUGAAUUUCCAUAAGUCAACCAUGAGACCAACAAUGAAAGAACACAGGUAGAAAAAGAAUUUGAAAACACAGG